CCCUCCCUUGUUAAUCCCGCCUAUAUACCGCCGUCGUCAGCCUACCCUGUGAAGGACUAGAAGUGAGCAAGAUUGGUAAGACCCAAAACGUCAGGUCGAGGUGUAGUAGAUGAGAGGGGAAGAAAUGGGCUACAUUUCCUAAGUCAGGAAAUACGAACAAUGAACUGAAAUAAACAUUAGAAGGUGGAUUUAGCAGUAAGCAGGAAAGCAGAGUGUUCCGCUGAAGAAUGGCCAUAAAGCACGCACACACCGCCCGUCACUCUCCCCAAGCACCUUUUGCAAAAUUUUGUACCUAAAAAAUUAUACCUGCAGAGGGGAGGCAAGUCGUAACAUGGUAAGCGUACCGGAAGGUGCGCUUGGAAUAAU
rnacentral:rRNA from 1 species